rnacentral:rRNA from 1 species
GACGAACGCUGGCGGCGUGCUUAACACAUGCAAGUCGAACGGUAAGGCCCUUCGGGGUACACGAGUGGCGAACGGGUGAGUAACACGUGGGUGAUCUGCCCUGCACUCCGGGAUAAGCCUGGGAAACUGGGUCUAAUACCGGAUAGGACUCCGGACUGCAUGGUCUGGGGUGGAAAGCUUUUGCGGUGUGGGAGUGGGCCCGCGGCCUAUCAGCUUGUUGGUGGGGUGAUGGCCUACCAAGGCGACGACGGGUAGCCGGCCUGAGAGGGUGACCGGCCACAUGGGGGUGUGGAUCCGGCCCAGACUCCUGGGGGGGGCAGCAGGGGGUAAUAUAGCACAGGGGGCGAAGGCCUGAUGCAGCGCCGCGGGGGGAGGGAGGACGGCUUUCGGGUUGUAAACCUCUUUCAGCUUCGACGAAGCGAAAGUGAGGGUAGGGGCAGAAGAAGACCCGGCCAACUACGUGCCAGCCGCCGCCGAAA